UUGUCCUCUGCACUGCGUCUCUGCAGAUGACUCGUUCAGUUCAUGCUCUCUGGUCCAGUCCACCAAGUGUACCGCCCAGUACGGACACGAGUCGUUAGCUCCCAACACCGAUAGGUGUAACUGGACAUUAGCCAACGCAACUUCCAUCACUAUGCCAACAGAUCACUCGGGCAACAGCACCAACGACGAAAACUCUACUGUCAGCGGCGAUCCCAGCGGUAUACCAAGCAGCCAGGCGCCGACCGAUCGCCUGGCUAGCAGCACCGGCAAAGAUACUAUACUGCAAGCGCCAGCAGUGCUAGGCCACUCGACCAACGACGCAGGCUACACAACGUACCAAUCUACCGACCGCCACUUCAGUCUUUGGCCAUGUACCAGCCGUUACUAUGGUUACAACUGCGCAAGCUGGCCAGGAGCACCAGACUAUCACCAAGACAACCAAUGCUUCAUGGUGCUACACGACUGCGGCCGUGGCUUUGCUUGCUUUCUGGUCCUUUUUGUUUCUCGUCAGCGUAGCAAUUCAGGCCAUCGACUGUUACAGGGGUAGAAAGUCUCGCCACGAGGCGGUUGCCACGACGUCUCGGCAUGUACCCAUGGACGAGUCGAUCGUACUUGGCAACAGAUUGGACUCCAGCCCGCCACUGCCACCAGACAGUCCCAGCAGGUGCUCAGCUACAGUUGCGCUCACCGAAGACAAUUCUGAUUUGUAAGAGGAGACAUCAAUUCUCUCUCCCCCCCCCUCUCUCGCACUAUACCAGUUCUUAUGCAUUCAAAAAUUGUUGAACUGAAUCCCCGAUAGAAACAAUAAUUCUUAUUAUUCAAUUGCCAUGCCAUUUGUCAACACUAUAUACAGACUCAGUGUCCAAUACUGUAGUAAAUCUGCACACUUUUUAGUUUGUGAUCUGCGAGCACAGACCAACUUGCACCUGGAUUCUCACAAUUGGUCAAUUUCCUCAGUUUCUUUGCCACAGUUCUACAGUUCGGAUCGCAAGGGUUUCCGAAUUAAUUCACUAUUAAACUUGUUAGCAAGCAAGCACCGCCGUAUAGAUACCAUAGGUACUGCUAGCUGACUGUUGUUGUUACGCACACACACAAUCACCAUCAUGAGAUCAUCGAGUUCUCUCUGUUGUUCGCUCAGCCAGCUAGCUGCAUUAUUUGAUAUCAAAAUUAGGAAAGUGAUAUCCAUCAGCAAUGCCAUUUCUACUGCAACUACUAAAUAUCCAUAAAUAAAGAUCAAAUCUUACAUUUGCACCUAGAAUAUUCCUACCCCAGGUUGCGAUAGCAUGCAUUCAUCCUAAACCCAGGGAGGGGAGGGGGGGGGGGGCAA